CGGCGGACGGGUGAGUAACGCGUGGGUAACCUGCCCUGUACACACGGAUAACAUACCGAAAGGUAUGCUAAUACGAGAUAAAAUACUUUUAUCGCAUGGUAGAAGUAUCAAAGCUUUUGCAGUACAGGAUGGACCCGCGUCUGAUUAGCUAGUUGGUAAGGUAACGGCUUACCAAGGCGACGAUCAGUGGCCGACCUGAGAGGGUGAUCGGCCACAUUGGAACUGAGACACGGUCCAAACUCCUACGGGAGGCAGCAG
rnacentral:rRNA from 1 species